rnacentral:rRNA from 1 species
UACGUAGGGCGCGAGCGUUGUCCGGAAUCAUUGGGCGUAAAGAGCUCGUAGGCGGCCUGUCGCGUCUGCUGUGAAAUCCCGGGGCUUAACCCCGGGCGUGCAGUGGAUACGGGCUGGCUGGAGGCAGGCAGGGGAGAACGGAAUUCCCGGUGUAGCGGUGAAAUGCGCAGAUAUCGGGAGGAACACCGGUGGCGAAGGCGGUUCUCUGGGCCCGUACUGACGCUGAGGAGCGAAAGCGUGGGGAGCGAACAGG